GACGAACGCUGGCGGCGCGCCUAACACAUGCAAGUCGAACGGAGUUAUUUGAAAGCUUGCUUUUGGAUAACUGAGUGGCGGACGGGUGAGUAACGCGUGAGUAACCUGCCUUAAAGAGGGGGAUAACGUCUGGAAACGGACGCUAAUACCACAUAACGUUGAAAGAUGGCAUCAUCAUUCAACCAAAGGAGCAAUCCGCUAUGAGAUGGACCCGCGGCGCAUUAGCUAGUUGGUGGGGUAACGGCCUACCAAGGCGACGAUGCGUAGCCGACCUGAGAGGGUGAUCGGCCACAUUGGGACUGAGACACGGCCCAG
rnacentral:rRNA from 1 species